rnacentral:lncRNA from 1 species
CUAGCACAUACAAACAAUCAAGAUAACCCAAAGCAUAGUCUUUCCAGAAAACUCAAUCAAACUUGGAACUUUCUUGCUACCAAACACAGAUAUGGCGCCAACCUUCUGGUUAAUCAUGAAAAGAAAACACCAAUCGUACCUCUUCAUAGAAGAAAAAAAUGUACAACAAGAAUCAAGAACGUCCAAAGAUCAGUACUUUCUGAGAUACUAACCCAACAUCACACAUGAUUUCUAUUAUAUAUCUUUAGAUCACCAAGGAGCGAACAACUUUGUAUUGUUUGCUAUGGUGUAUAUGCCUCAACAUGUACAUAUUUUCUAAAUAAGAGAAAAAAGUAAAACACAAGAAGAUUGGCGGGCUUCCUACUUGAUCAAUCUUGACUGAUUUAUAUUCUAUGAAAACAAUCAAAUCUGCAACCUACGAUCCUCAAGACCAGACAGCCAAAUUCAAAAAGGAGCAAGACUGCCAUAUCAUUAAACUAAAAUAUGUAUUAUUUACAACGGGAACAUGGGCAAAAAGUACUGGAUAAAGAAAAAAGAAAACAAGGGAGCAAGAGCCAAAAAAAAAAAACAGAACUAAACCCUCUGUUUUUCAAUUCUAGAGAGAUGCAUAGACCAUCCACCAAAACGCCCAUCUUCGCUAAGCUCCAAGAAACGAGGACUCCUCCUAAGAGUCACCAACAGAGAUGGGUCAGCAAGAAAUUCCCAAAGGGGAUCGAGAGAUCUGCCUGGUCAUGGUGAUCUCUCCAAGGACAGGUCUCAUCUCUGGCUUUCCCGGCAACCAAUCAAUUAUUUUCUCGGAUUCUUGCUUGAUCUUUCUCACUUGGCUGUGAACAGGAAAACCCAUUUCCUCAAAGCCUUCCCUCUGUCUGUUGUUGUUGUUGCUGUUCCUGUUCUCCAUCUUCUUGUUGUGGAUUCACAGAGGCUCUGCUUCCAACUAUACUUAUCCUAUUUUUUCCUAGCUAGUAUAUGUUUAUGUAAUAUCUGUAUGUAAAUCUUAAAGGACAGUUGAGAAGCAUGUGGGUAUAUAUAGAGCAGAAGGUCGGGUCGAUUAAGAAGAAGAUCAAGUAUGAAACGUGGGACGGCAAGGAAGAGCAGUUUGGUGGAAAAAUAUCAAAUCUUCGGAUUAGUUUGAGUCGA